rnacentral:lncRNA from 1 species
UAAAUCAUGAAAUCGCUUCAUUUGAAAGGUCAAAUUUAUAUUUGGAUUAAUAGCUCCCUAUUUUAGACAUGAUAAUCACUGCAUUGUAUAAUAUGUUAGCUUCCUGAUGCUUGCGGAUCUAAGCUGAGUUCUAGUGCUUAGAGCUUUACCCAAAGGUGUGCUUCCUCCUUUCCUGUUGGCAUGUUUCUGAACUUCUGUGUAAUGGGCCAGGUUACAAACGGGAUUUCUUUUCACCGGGCUGAAUCUGACCCCUGCUGUAGAUGUGAGACAUAGAGCUUAUAAGUGAAGAUACAGUGCCAG